UACGUAGGGGGCAAGCGUUAUCCGGAUUUACUGGGUGUAAAGGGAGCGUAGGUGGUUCGGCAAGUCUGAUGUGAAAGCCCGGGGCUCAACCCCGGGAUUGCAUUGGAAACUACCGAACUAGAGUGCAGGAGAGGUAAGUGGAAUUCCUAGUGUAGCGGUGAAAUGCGUAGAUAUUAGGAGGAACACCAGUGGCGAAGGCGGCUUACUGGACUGUAACUGACACUGAGGCUCGAAAGCGUGGGGAGCAAACAGG
rnacentral:rRNA from 1 species